AUUGAACGCUGGCGGCAUGCCUUACACGUGCAAGUCGAACGGUAACGCGGGGCAACCUGGCGACGAGUGGCGAACGGGUGAGUAAUGCAUCGGAACGUGCCCAGUAGUGGGGGAUAGCCCGGCGAAAGCCGGAUUAAUACCGCAUACGACCUAAGGGUGAAAGCGGGGGAUCGCAAGACCUCGCGCUAUUGGAGCGGCCGAUGUCAGAUUAGGUUGUUGGUGGGGUAAAAGCCUACCAAGCCGACGAUCUGUAGCUGGUCUGAGAGGACGACCAGCCACACUGGGACUGAGACACGGCCCAGACUCCUACGGGAGGCAGCAGUGGGGAAUUUUGGACAAUGGGGGCAACCCUGAUCCAGCCAUGCCGCGUGCGGGAAGAAGGCCUUCGGGUUGUAAACCGCUUUUGUCAGGGAAGAAACGCUCUGGGCUAAUACCCCGGGGUAAUGACGGUACCUGAAGAAUAAGCACCGGCUAACUACGUGCCAGCAGCCGCGGUAACAC
rnacentral:rRNA from 1 species